AGUGAACGCUGGCGGUAGGCCUAACACAUGCCAGUCGAACGGCAGCACAGUAAGAGCUUGCUCUUACGGGUGGCGAGUGGCGGACGGGUGAGGAAUACAUCGGAAUCUACUUUUUCGUGGGGGGUAACGUAGGGAAACUUACGCUAAUACCGCAUACGACCUACGGGUGAAAGCAGGGGAUCUUCGGACCUUGCGCGAUUGAAUGAGCCGAUGUCGGAUUAGCUAGUUGGCGGGGUAAAGGCCCACCAAGGCGACGAUCCGUAGCUGGUCUGAGAGGAUGAUCAGCCACACUGGAACUGAGGCACGGUCCAGACUCCUACGGGAGGCAGCAGUGGGGAAUAUUGGACAAUGGGCGCAAGCCUGAUCCAGCCAUACCGCGUGGGUGAAGAAGGCCUUCGGGUUGUAAAGCCCUUUUGUUGGGAAAGAAAAGCAGCAGGUUAAUACCCGGCUGUUCUGACGGUACCCAAAGAAUAAGCACCGGCUAACUUCGUG
rnacentral:rRNA from 1 species